GUCCCCCCCCCCCCCCCCCCCGCCGCGGUGGACAGACCUUUGACCUUCAAGAAUGCAAGCAGGAAGCUCCACUAGGGGGCUGAUUUCGGUGGCCAAGGAGUAAACUGGUGACUUGUGAUAAAUGGAAGUGCUCAGAACGUGAGAUUCAAGAGAUUAUACAUACAUAUACGCACAUGGAUAUACAUAUAUCCAUACAUAUAGACACAUAGCCAUAUACAUGACAGAGAAAGAGAAAGUCACUGCCCAGAUCUUAACAGCAGCUGAGACUGGGUCAGGCCAAAGCUGGAAGCUCCGAACGCACCCAGAUCUCUCGCUUGGCUGGAAGGGACUCAACUGCUGGAGCCAUCACCUGCUGCCUCCCCAGGUGCCGCCGCAGCGGGAAACGGGAACAGGAGGCCAAUGGAGAGGCAAAGACAGGCACUCUGAGAUGGGGGGCAGACAUCCCAGUUGGUGUCUUAACCAUUAGGCCAAACGCCUCCACUAUAUUUGAAGUACAGCCAACCAGCUUCGUUGAGUGACCGGAAGCAUGGUAUGGUAAGAAAAAAGAGAUCAAAGAUGACAGUCCCCACCCCCCCCAAGCAACCAGAUAAUGUUUGGUUUUCUGUUAUACUUUCCCUUACCAAGUUAAUGAAAAAGAUUUCCUCAGAAGAUGGAAAAAAGAAAUAAGUAUGAGGGUACUUCAAAAAGUUCGUGGAAAAUUGAAAUUAAAAGAUAAGUCCAUUUUGUGCAGAAAAAGAAAUCCAUACAUAAUUUUUCAUUAUACACAUUUUCCUUGACCUUUUGAAGACUUCUCAUAUGCAUAGAUUUAAGAAACUGUUUGCCCCAUAGUAAACUUAUCUUUUUUUAAAAAAUCCAUAUUUGAAGGCAGAGAGAGAGCUUCCAUCUGCUGGUUCACUCCCCAGGUGGUGGCAACAGCUGCAGCUAGUCCAGGCCGGAGCCAGGAGCCAGGAGCGCCACCUCAGUCUCCCACAUGGGUGGCAGGGGCCGGAGCGCUUGGGCCAUCUGCUGCUGCUUUACCAGGUUUUUCUGCUCUUCUCCAAUCCUUUAAAGAAACAGGAAGAAAGAGGCCAGUCCCGAAAAGGGGGAGGUGCUGGCCCCGGCCCAGGAGCUUCCCUCUGGUCUCUGCAGGAAACGUGAAGAGGGUCUGAGUUGCAGAUGAAGACAGGCAAGAAAAUUGUGUGUCUGGAAUCUGACGGUCCUCUGUGGCCCCCCUUUACCCAGCAACCGUGCAGUAAUGCUGUGUCAGGAAAGUUGCUUUUGGCUGUCUCAUUGGUUCACUUAUUUGUAAAGGCUUCAGUAUGAGCAUUCAAUGAUGCACAGUUUUAGACACAACCGUGUUACUAGUUAUUCGCAAUUGAUUAAACCACAGCCAUUGACGGGCAUGCGAAGAGCCCUGUGAUCCACGGCUCCUUACUCCUGCCAGGCCUACGGACUGAAUCCUCUGCUCCCUGGACUGACAUGAGAGGCUGUCGCCUGGAUUGUAGGCAUGCCGCUCCUGCAUCUGCUUUCGUGAAAACAUUGUGGCACCGGUCGCCUAAUGUCCCGCCUGUGAGAAACCCUUCUGUCUUUUUAGCAAAGAGUUUGGUGUCAGGAACAAGUGUGUCUUUUGAAGAACCGAAGAGUGCCUGGCAAGCGUAGAUGGUUUCUAGAGUUCCCUGAUGAAUGAAGGAGAAGGAGUGUGCCAGGUUCGGGGUGAGGGAAGGGGCACAGGGCUUCAUUUCAAAAAUGGGGUACCAUGUGACACGCUAUGCUUUCUGCUUUGCUGGGUUGCUGGAAGUCUAGUGUUAAGUUAAUGCUCAAUGCAAUGACUGCUUUAUCCCUCCUUCCAGUCUCAGCUAUUGGCCUCCUUCCCAGAGGCUCAUUCAUUUACUUCUUAGCAUCGUAUUCUACAUGCAUUUUCAUGAGCAACAGCUUCUGACUGUUGUAGGGGGCAGAACAGGGUAACGUAAGAGUUCUGGAGUCAGACGCAAGGUGGGCAAGCUGGCUGAUCUUUGGGCAAGUGGUCCUGUGCUGUGUGUCCUGUUAAAUGGAAAUGCUCAGAGGCUUAGGAAGAGCUUCCCAUGAUUUGUGUAUGCCUUAUGAUUAAACCGUUUCUUAUUAUUAUAUUUAUUUUAUUAUUCUUUUUUAUUAUCCCAGAAUCGCUCCAAAUAAUAAUAAAAGAGGACAUUUAAAUAAUGCUUACAUGGGGCCAGUGUUGUGGUGCAUCAGGAUAAGCUGCCUCUGGUGUCGCCAGUUUCAGGGCCCCAGUCUGUGUCCCGGCUGCUCCAGUUCUGAUUCAGUUUCCCGUUGUGUUAGCUAAAUCCCUGCUGGCUCCCGAGUACAUGGGCCCCUGCCACCCACCUGGGAGACCCAGGUGGAGUUCCAGGCUCCCAACUUUGGCCUGGCCCAAUUCCAUUUAGAGAGUGAACCAAUGGAUAGUAGAUCUCUCUUUAUCUGUCCCUCCCUCUCUCUGUCACUCUGCCUUUUGAAUACGUACAUACAUAUACGCAUACAUACAUGCAUAACAUACAUAAACAAUGCUUACCAUGUCUUAGGCAUGUUUUUCAGCACUUCAUACACUAGCUAAGGCAAACAUGUUUCUUAUGUUCAUUGAUGGAAACAUAAUCCUUCAACCCUCUGAGCUGGGACUACCAUUUUCUCUAAUUUACAAAUGAGACAGUUGAAACCUGGAGAGGUCAAGUUACUGGUCCAAGUCUAGAAAGAUGGGGAGUGGGAGAGCCGGAUUCAGCCCCCAGCUGCCCAAGCCCCAGAGUGGUUUAUGCUCUUUCUGGUGCAUUCUGCUUCCUUACUCCAGCCAGCUCAUACUGAGCGCUCACUAAACACUGGGCUCUGUGACAAGGGCUGCACCUGCAGCAUCUCAUUUAAUCCUUCCAACAACGAGGUAUACUAGCUCCGUUUCACUGACGAAGCCACAGGAGGCUCAAAGCUCACCCAGCUACUAAGUGACAAAGCAGAGCUUCCAAUCAAAGACUGCUAAACACCCAAAGGCCGCAGGUGCCAUCCCAUACUCUUAGCACACUCACUGCCCUCUGACCCUCUGCUUUGUGUGUAACAUAUAUUAGUCCAUUUGCCAUUGCUCUAACAAAAUACCUGUGCAAUGUAUAAAGAAGCAAGGUUUAUUUAGCCCAGAGCUCUAAAGGUCCAACAACAUGAUGCUAGCAUCUAGUGAAGCUCUAGUGGGGCCUCACAGUGGGUGCUGUCAGGGACGGCAGACUGGAAGCAGAAGGUGCCACACGGCGAGGGGUAGGCAUUGCAGGUGGUUAAGAUACUGUUUGGCCUCAUUUGAGCCCUGGCUCUGCUACUUCCAAUCCAGCUUCCUGCUAAUGUGCACCCUGGGAGGCAGCAGUGAUGGCUCAGAGACUUAGAGGGCUGCCACCCACAAAGGAGUUCCGGGCUCCUGGCUUUGGCCUGGUCCAACCCUGGCUGAUAUCAGAGGGUAAACCAGCACAUGAAGAUCUCUCUCUCUCUCCCUCUUGCUCUUGCUCUAGAUUUCCAGCAUAUGAAAUAUAUAUGCAUAUAUAUGUACACACACAUAUGCAUAUACACAAAGUGAACUUCCCAUUGUUUCUGGUCUGUAGGUCCUAGUGAGCUAGUUUGUCCUGAACACUCAGGAUCUGUCAUCAGAUUGAUGUCACAGCAUCUUGGACCUAAAAGAGAUCUCACAGUGGGGUGGGCCCUCCCUGGUGCUCCUUCCUGCACCUGUCUUCACCUCCAGGAGACAGACACCAAUGGUGGCAGGUGCUUCCCUCGCCUGCUCAUGCAUGAGGAUCCCACAGCUCUGUUGACAUAACAAUCCCUUAUGGAAACAGGUUAGCCCUUAAGAGGAAUACUAGGCCUCACACAUAGAUUUACAUCUUGCUCCACAGUGUCAACAAUUUCACCUUGCGUGAACCUGAAGCAAAUAUCAUUCCAAGUCCUGUUGCGGCUGCCCUGGUUUCCCUACAGCAAGGGUCGUGAGACACAACAGACAUCUGGGAAGUGCCAUGGACUCUUCCAUUUGGUGCAUUGUCUUCACUGGUUUAAUUUUAGUCAAGAUGAAUAUGUAUAAGGACUUUGGUGGCUUCGUUCAUUAUUUCAUUUCCUUUUCACACAAGAUCUUCUGUUCCUCAGCCAUGAAUUCUAUUAGCCCUGAAUUCCAUGGGAUGUAGCUAUCAUGGUAAAAAAUGGAAUAAUGUAUAAAUCUCAACAACAAAUCUUUUCAUUUGCAGAUGAUUUCAUGUUUGAUCUUCACAGUAGAGCCAAUGGUAUUUUUUUCAAAUGGUAUCUUCAGGAUAAUAAGGGAUAUGUUUUAUUGUCUGAGCAUUCUCAUUUAUAGGAGGUAAUAAAGUAAAGCUGAUUAAAACGGAAUGAAAUUCUGAUACAUGCUGCAACAUGAACCUUGCAAAUUUCACGCUAAGUCAAAGAAGCCAGACAUAGGGCAAAUAUGAGUCUUGUAUGAUGCCAUUUUGUAUGAGAUUCAUACAGUAGUCAAAUCCAUAGAGACAGAAAGUAGAAUAGUGGCUACCAGGGGCUGGAGUGAGGAGAGAAUGGGAGUUGUUUAAUGGCUAUGUUAUUUCAGUUUGAGAUGAUAAAAAAGUUCUACAGAUAGGUGGUGAUGAUGAUUCUAAAAUAAUUUAAAUAUACUUAAUGCCACAGAACUGUACACUUAAUAAUAGUCAAAAUAGGGGGCAGGCAUUUGGUCUACUAGUUAAGGCAUCCAUGUCCCACAUCAGAACACUACCUUCAGCUUCCGACUCUGGGAGGCUGUGGUAAUCGAUCAAGCACUGGGGUUCCUGCCACCCAUGUGAGAGAAUUGGAUUGCAUUCCCAGCUCCUAGCUUUGGUUCCCUGCAGGAGCUGGUGAGUGAAACACCUGCCACCAUUGGUGUCUGUCUCCUGGAGGUGAAGACAGGUGCAGGAAGGAGCACCAGGGAGGGCCCACCCUACUGUGAGAUCUCUUUUAGGUCCAAGAUGCUGUGACAUGUGUCGCUCCCCCAUCUCACAGAGGAACGACACUAAACCCUGCGCUGUUCUUUCGCCUGCUUGGCCCUUCCCGGGUUUGCUGCUGGUCCUUCCCGGGUUGGCUGCCGACCCCUCCACCUCCGUGGAGGGGCGGCCCCCCUGCCACUUUCCCCGCUUCCGUGGAGGAGCGGCACACCGCCAGCCAGCUCUCUCGGGGGCUGCUCAGAUGUUCCUUCAGAUGUUCCUGGUGCAUGUUGUCUCUCUCCUCCUUUAUAGUCCUCUUCCACCAAUCCCAACUCUGCUGCCCACACGCUGAGCACUCUGCUCUCCAAUUAGGAGCAGGAUCAGCUCCUGCAGCUCAUCAGUCAAAUUAGCGAGAGGCAGCUGCGUAGAAGUUUACUCCUCCCCAGCGCCAUAUUGUGGGAGAGCAGAUGCAUAGAAUAAGUCUUAAUUCCAGUAACUUAGUCUAGUCUCAGUUGCUCCCCAAAACAUGAAUCUGAUGACAGAUCCUGAGCGUUCAGGACAAACUAGCUCACUAGUACCUACAGACCAGAAACAAUGGGAAGUUCACUUUUUGUGUGUGUAUGUGUGCGUAUGUAUACAUAUAUAUAUAUAAAUAUGUAUAUUUCAUAUGCUGGAAAUCUAGAGCAAGAGCAAGAGGGAGAGAGAGAGAGAUCUUCCAUGUGCUGGUUUACCCUCUGACAUCAGCCAGGGUUGGAUUAGGUUGAAGUCAGGAGCCAGGAACUCCAUUCAUUCUGCCACAUGGGUGGCAGGGGCCCAAAUACUUGAGCCACCAUCUGCUGCCUCCCAGGCACAUUAGCAGGAAGCUGGAUUGGAAGUGGAACAGUCAGGACUUGAACCAGGCACUCAGAUAUGGGAUGUGGAUGGGCAUCCCAAGUAGCAGCCUAACCUGCUGUGCCACAGUGCUUGCCCCAGUCAACUUCUUUGAAGUAUAGGUCACUCAAAAGUUUUUCAAGAAAACCUCAGUGUUUCAGGCUACCAAUCAAAGACCUGAAUGACUAAGGCCUUACUAAAGCAGCUCAGCUGCUGGGAAAGCCAGGAGUUUCAAUGUGUCCUUGCUGUUGUCACUUAAGUUCUUCAAGAAGCAAACUCUGAUACAAAGUACAGCAUUGUGGAUAUGUGCUGGGAGAACCCUCAGGAGCAAUACCUGGGAGAAGGAAAGGAAGGAACCAGGAGUAGACAGGAGAUGUCAAGUUGUGAUGUGGGCCCAGCAUCCUCCACUGCUCCCACCAGGCACUCCAGGGCUGAAGUGGCCCCUCAGGGUUGUCCUGCCUUGACUCAGAAUGCGUAGGCCUCCAUACUGGGUGGGAGCUGCCCCUGGCAGGGGCUGGCCUUGGAGAGGCUGUCUCUCCACCACCAAGACAGUCUCUUAUAGGGUCAUCAACUGUCUACUGAGAGCUCCUGCCCCAGCUGGGGGCCCCAGCCCCUCCUGAAGGGGAUACGCAGGUGCCCCACCCACCAGAGUUACCUAUGAGACAAUUUUCCUUCAGUUAAAACUUCUUGUUAAGUAUCUCUAAGGGUGACACUUUAAAGGGAGCAGAGAAUGGGGGCCUGCACUGUGGCAUAGUAGGCUAAGCCUCUACCUGCAGUGCUGGCAUCCCAUAUGGGCAACGGUUCAAGUCCCGCCUGCUCCACUUCUGAUCCAACUCUCUGCUAUGGCCUGGGAAAGUAGUAGAUGAUGGCCCAAGUCUUUGGGCCCUUGUGCCCACAGGGGAAACCUGGAGGAAGCUCCUGGUUCCUAGCUUUGGACCAGCAAAGCUCCAGCCAUUGUAGCCAUCUGGGGAGUGAACCAGCAGAUGGAAGACCUCUCCUUCUCUCUGCCUCUGCCUCUCUGUAACGCUGCCUUUCAAAUAAGUAAAAUGAAUCUUUUAAAAAAAGCCACAUUAGAAUAAUAUUUCUCCAUAUCAUUAUGGCUUCAAUUGUACACAAUUAGAUUCAAGUGAAUAAUUGAGUUUCAUUUUCUUUAAAUUAAGCCAGGUGGAGAAAAGGGGAGAGAGUAUGCUACCAUUUCUCCAUGAAAGAUAUUUGCUUAAAUUAAGAAAACUGGUGGAUAAACCAUUAAAAAGAUUACUUAUGGGGGCAGGAGGAAAUAGUAUGUAGGGAAAAAGAACAGGGACUUCACUUUUUAAUAGGUUGGACUUUAGAACUGUGUUUGCAUUUUACAAUUUAAGUAAAUAUUGAGGCCGGCGCCGCGGCUCACCAGGCUAAUCCUCCGCCUUGCAGCACCGGCACACCGGGUUCUAGUCCUGGUCAGGGCGCCGGAUUCUGUCCCGGUUGCCCCUCUUCCAGGCCAGCUCUCUGCUGUGGCCCGGGAGUGCAGUGGAGGAUGGCCCAAGUGCUUGAGCCCUGCACCCCAUGGGAGACCAGGAGAAGCGCCUGGCUCCUGCCAUUGGAUCAGCGCGGUGCGCCGGCUGCAGCGCAUCAGCCACAGCGGCCAUUGGAGGGUGAACCAAUGGCAAAGGAAGACCUUUCUCUCUGUCUCUCUCUCACUGUCCACUCUGCCUGUCAAAAAAUAAAAAAGAUAAUAUUGAAUUAAUUUUUAUAAAGAUUUAUUUAUUUGAAAGGCAGAGUUACAGAGAGACAGAGGCAGAGAGGAAGAGAGAGAGACAGAAAGAGAGAGAGAGAGAGAGAUCAUCCAUCUACUGGUUCACUCCCCAGAUGGCUGCAACGGCCGGAGUUGUGCCAAUCUGAAGGCAGGAUCCAGGAGCUUCCUCCAGGUCUCCCACACAGAUGCAGGGAUCCAUGGACCUGGACCAUCCUCCACUGCUUUCUCAAGCCAUAGCAGAGAGCAGGAUUGGAAGUAGAGCAGCCGGGACUUGAACUGGUGCCUAGAUGGGAUGCUGGCACUGCAGGUGGUGGCUUUAUCUGCUAUGCCACAGUGCCGGCCCCAAUAUUGAAUUAAUUUAAAAACAAUCUCUAAAACUCAAAAGAGUAUAACUUGUGAAGGCUGCUUCUGCCACUUCAGAAAUGAGAAGCCCUCAGUAGGUUACAUAACCCUGACAAACCUCAGCUGGCUCUCCUCUAAAACUGGGAUUCUUGUGGCAGGCGCUUGGUCUAGGUGUUAAGACUCAUACCAUAUCAGAGUGCCUGGGUCCAACACCUGGCUCAGAUCCUGACGCCAGCUUCCUGCUAAUGCGUACGUUGGAGGCAGUGGCAAUGGCUCAGGUGAUUGGGUUCCUGUCACCCAGGUGGGAGACCUGCAUUGAGUUUUCAGCUCCCUGCUUCAGCCCCAGAUGGGGACCAUUGUGAAUAUUUGAGGAAUGAACCAGCAAGUGCAAGCUCUCUUUCUCUCUGCCUAUUAAAUAAGUAAACAAAAAAACUUUUUAAGAUUUUACUUAUUUAUUUGAGAGAUUGAGUCACAGAGAGAGAGAGAGAGAGAGACAGAAAGAAAUGUCCUCCAUCCACUGGUUCACUCUGCAAAUGGUCGCAAUGGUCAGAGUUGGGCCAAUCAGAAGCCAGGAGCCAGGAGCCCCCUCUGGGCUUUCCACAUGGGUGCAGGGGGCCAAACACCAAGGCUGUCCUCCCCUGCCUUCCCAGGUCACAGCAGACAGCCGAUCAAAAGAGGAGCAGCAGAGACUAGAACCAAUAACCAUAUGCAAGUGGAGGCCCAGCCCACUACACCACAAUGCAGGCCCCCUAACAAACAACAUUUUAAAAAUAAUAAAAUUAGAAUAAUAAUAAUGAUGCCCUCAUUGGGUUAGUACAAAGAUGAAACAAUGCACACUAAACAUAGUUGACGCAGUGCCUGCCAUGAAGCAAUUGUGCAAAGUAUAUGUGCUAUUAUUUGUAACUCCAGAGCUUAAAAUAAUCUGUAAGCAAGAAUUCAUUUUUAUAGCAAGAUUCUCCCUGAGAUCCUUUUAAAAACUGAAAAUCUGGGACCGGUGCUGUGGCGUAGCAGGUUAAGCCACUGCCUGUGACACUGACAUCCCACAUGGGUGCCAGUUUGUGUCCCAGCUGCUCCACUUCCAAUCCAGUUCCCUACUAAAGUGCCUGGAAAAACAGCAGAAGAUAGCUAAAGUGCUUGGGCCCCUGCACCCGCAUCAGCAAUCUGGAAGAAGCUUCUGGCUCCUGGCUUCAGCCUGGCCCAGUCAUGCUGGUUUGGCCUUACAGGGAGAGAACCAGAGAAUGGAAGAUUCUCUCUCUCUCUCUCUUUCUCUGUCUCUCUUCCUCUCUCAUCUCUCCCUCUCUGUAACUCUGCAUUUCAAAUAAAUUUUAAAAACUUUAUAUAUAAAAAAGACUUGAGAUCCCUCAAUAUAUUUAAAUACUUCAUCAUAACAAAUUAAAUUUUUCAGAAAUGUGUCUUCUCCAGCCUUGAGAGGGUGAGUGGAGAUCUCUGCCAGCCUGGCCUAGAGCCCUGCUUGGGGUAGAUUCCACCUCACUCCAGUUAAGGGGAGACAAAAGAGCUUUCUGCGUCUUUGAGUGGAAAGAAGCUUCUAGAACCUCACACAUAACGGACAAGGGCUUUCCUUGAUAGAGAGAAUGAGACUUGGCUGGAAAGAACUUCCCUCUCUCCAAGGGCCUGGCCCUAGCUGGGUCUUGCCUGGCCCACCAAGGAAGCCAGUCUUCCCUCGAACCUGUUUCUUGUCUGUUACUCAGGUGCUGAUGAAUGUUGCCUCUUCCUGUCGAGCUCUAAGGGGCUCCAUAUGUAGUUGGCAGGGACCCCCCUAUACCAAAGUGUCUAGUACUCACUGAGCCAAGUACCAAAGUGAAUUCGAGCCACAUGUAGAUGUUUUACUAAACCCAGACUCAAUGGGACUAGAUUCAACUCAUGCUCCCUUUACUUGGCUCACCCCAAAACCAUGUGCAUAGGGAAAGUAUCAUGGAGGGGAAGUCCUAGUAGAAAGAGACAGUAGCUAUAACCAGUUCCAGGUAAAAUAUGGAACUUUAAAAAACUUGUGAAAAGCACAUGGCCAUGUUAGCAGGUUGGGGACCUUCCUGUGGCCUUGGAAGGGGCCUGCAAAUAUGGGUGCUUUUUUAAAAUUUAUUUCUCCCUCAAAGAAACCUUUCAUUUAAGGAGUACAGACUUCAUGCAUUUCCUAAGUACAACUUUAGGAAUAUAGUGAUUCUUCCCACCAUACCCACCCUCUCACCCACUCUCCCACUCUUCCUCCUCCUCCCUCUCCCAUUCCCAGUCCCAUUCCCCACUAAGAUCCAUUUUUGAUUAACUUUGUACACAGAAGAACAACUCUUAUAUUAAGUAAAGAUUUCAACAAUUAUGUGGGCACUUUCAGUUUAAGCGUUGUUGGCUUCGUGGUCAAUCUGUCUCGGCCUAUCAGGAAAGCUCGGGUUUCAGAAGGAUUUUCUUGGAAAUCCUUUUAUAGAAUAGAGUCUCAGUUCUCAGUUUAUUAGCCUGUGGGUUGAAGUAUUUCCAUGUGUAGUUUUCUAAAAACGGAGACAUACUUGCCUCCAAGAGCUAAAAAGUAUGUGUGAUGGCUGACUGGGCCAAGGGGUCUGGCAGCACCAACUGCUUCCAGAAUAGCUUUGCAGUGCAAUCGCCAAGGCAGGACAUGGCCUAGGAGGCCAUGUCUGAGAAAGGAGACAGCACCCUAUGGUGGAGAUGUACCCCAGACACAGAGUGAGGGGCCACUAGUGACCUCAGCAGUUAAGAAGGUCAUCAGGGCCAGAUGGAAGCUUCCAGAACAGCCGCUCCCUACAAAACUCCACACCACACUGCCUCAUUCCAUCUCCUGCAUCCUGCAAUCCCCCCACCCCUGCCCCUUGCCAGAGCUGUAUCUACACUGGACAGGUUGAGUUGCACAAGUUUGAAUGUGUUCCCGUUACAGCCUUAUUACUGACAUCCCCUCUCUUGAAAUGCUGUUCACCACUGGAUCCUUAGUCUCCUGGGAGUGUAAGAACACCUGCCCCCCCAACCCCCAUCCCACAGCCUGUAUAGGUGAAGACUAUUCCUGCAAAUUACUCACCCCAAGGCUGGGACCAGCCUUCGGUUUUGUAUUUUGAUAAACGGCUAAAAGUUUAGCUUACAUUGAAUCAGUUAAAGCCAUAGCAUUCUAAUGUCAGCUAAUAUAAAAGGCAACUGAUUUGAAAAUCAAUGAUUUCAGGAAACAGGAAAUGACUAAUGAAUUAAUUGGAAAUUUUUAUUAGAAUUAAUGAAGCUUUCAGAACUACCCUUGUGAGUCCUGUAACAAACUCCUUUUUGUUCAGAUUUUCAGAGCCGCCCCAGAACAUGGCCCGAAGUUCCUUAGAUGCAUAUCUCAGUAAUGAACAGGAGGCUUGAAUAAUGUUCCCUGCUUCUGCAACAGAACUGACUGCUUUUCGAGAGGGAAAGUGCAUUCGCUUACAAAAUAACAGCCACCACCAUUUCCCUUUCCCAUGAUUCCCUUCCCUCCAAACAGAAACACAGCCUGGAAGAACAAAUGAGUUGGGUGGACUCUUUAUGGCAUCCUGUGGUUGUGCCUCUGUUGUGAGACACAAAGGACGUUCAGGAGGAACCAGUGAGAUUGUGUCUAUAUUAUCACAAGGCAGGAAUACAACACAGUGUGCGCAGAGCGAGACUGGCAGGUACACAGGUUGCAGCAAGGGGCCAGGUCAUGAUACAUCUAUGUGAUUAUUUUCAAUAAUUGUUUGCCCUCUAGGUUGUAACUUCACAUGGGCAUGACUGAUUUUUUCUAGUUUACUAUGUCCCUGGACUCUAGCACAUAACAGAUGCCAAAAAUAUGUGCUGAAUAAAACCAUUAAGAUCCCAGAUGGUAAUUAAAUACAUAACUAAGGCUCACAUUUUAAAAACUGAGAUUUUAGUAGGAAUGAAAAUGCAUUGUUUUUUUUUUUUUUGAUAAGUUUUUGUUUUGAAAUCAUUUCAAACUUUUAAAAAAGUUUCAAAAGUCAUAGCAAGAAUUAUUGGAUACCCACCAACCAUAUCUCCAAAUCUUAACAUUUGCCAAUUUGCUUUUAUGGAUUUGAAAGCAGCUUCUAGACAUGAUGUCCUUUUACUGCUAAAUAUUUCAGUAUGUAGUUCCUAAGAGCAAAGACAUUUUCUGAAAUAACCACCAUACAGGUGUCAAAAUCAGGGGAUUAACAGUAAGACAAUGCGGGCUGGCGCCACGGCUCAAUAGGCUAAUCCUCCACCUGCGGCGCCAGCACCCCAGGUUCUAGUCCCGGUUGGGGCGCCGGAUUCUGUCCCGAUUGCCCCUCUUCCAGGACAGCUCUCUGCUGUGGUCUGGCAAGGCAGUGGAGGAUGGCCCAAGUCCUUGGGCCCUGCAUCUGCAUGGGAGAACAGGAGAAGCACCUGGCUCCUGGCUUCGGAUCAGCACGGUACGCCGGCUGCAGCAGCCAUUGGAGGGUGAACCAACGGCAAAGGAAGACCUUUCUCUCUGUCUCUCUCUCUCACUGUCCACUCUGCCUGUCAAAAUAAUAAUAAUAAUAAUAAACAGUAAGACAAUGCUAUUAUCUAGUCUAUAGAUAUUAUGCAACAUUUGCAAUUGUUUUAAAAAUCUUAUUUAGUAAAAUAAAAAUAAUUUUUGGGGAUCACUUUCACAUGAGCUCCCAUCAUGAGACCAUGUGCUGAGGUCCUUGCCAGAGCUGGUGCUCUGCUGUGUAGACUUCCAGCCUCUAAAACCAUGUACAUAAACCUUCACUGUAAGGUGCCCAGCCUCUAAAACCAUGUACAUAAACCUUCACUGUAAGGUGCCCAGCCUCCAAUAUUUUGUUAUUGAAAUGUAAAAUGGACUAACACAUUCAGUCGUUCUUGGUCCUUCAUGACCUUGACAUUUUUGAAGAGUAUAGGCCGUUGUUCUGUGGGAUGUCCUUUAAUUCAGGUUUAUCUGAUGUUCCUUCACGAGUAGGUUCAGAUUUCACAUCUUUGGCAGAACUGCCAAGAAAGUAAUAUUGUAUCAUGUGUAGUGCACCACAUCAGGAGGCACCUCUGUCAGUCUGCUCCAUCAUUGUAACACUAUUGUUACAAGCUGGAGUCUGCUGCCCAUGGCUUCUGAACAGUUAACUACCUUCCCCUUUGUGACUAGUAUUUUAUGGGCAGAUAUUUUGAAUUUAUGUAAAUUUUUCUAUUUCAUCAAAUUUUCACCCACAAAUUUUAAUAUCCAUUGACAAUUCUUGCUUGAAUUAUGACUAGGAUACUAGGCAAAUCAUGAUUUUCUAACUCUAUCAUUCAUUUUAUUUGUUAAUUGAAAUUCUUUUUUUUAAAGAUUUAUUUAUUUAUUUGAAAGUCAGAGUUACAUAGAGAGAGGAGAGAGAGAGAGAGAGAGCGCGUGCGAGAGAGGUCUUCCAUCUGAUGGUUCACUCCCCAGAUGGCCUCAACGGCCGGAGCUGUGCCGAUGCCAGCCAGGAGCCAGGAGCUUCUUCCAGGUCUCCCAUGUGGGUGCAGAGGACUUGGACCAUCUUCUAUUGCUUUCCUGGGCCACAGCAGAGAGCUGGACAGGAAGCGGAGCAUCUGGGUCUCGAACCGUUGCCCAUAAGGGAUGCUGGCACUUUAGGCCAGGGCAUUAACCCACUGCGCCACCUCUCUGGCUCCUGUUAAUUGAAAUUCUAUUGUGACCGGCACUGCGGCUCACUAGGCUAAUCCUCCGCCUGCAGCGCCAGCGCCCCGGGUUCUGGUCCCGGUCAGGGCACCAGAUUCUGUCCUGGUUGCUCCUCUUCCAGUCCAGCUCUCUGCUGUGGCUUGGGAGUGUAGUGGAGGAUGGCCCAAGUGCUUGGGCCCUGCACCCGCCUGGGAGAUGGGGGGAAGCACCUGGCUCCUGGCUUCAGAUCAGUGCGGUGCGCCAGCCGCGGCAGCCAUUGGGGGGUGAACCAACGGCAAAAAGGAAGACCUUUCUCUCUGUCUCUCUCUUUCACUGUCCACUCUGCCUGUAAAAAAAAAAAAUUCUAUUGUAAGUAAACUGCUUUCUUUCCUCUCUAUGUGUUAAUGUAAGUUUCAUAUUCACACAAACUUGAAAAAUUAUGUUAAAUCAUAACAUGGGGUUAUAAAUCUCUUAAUAUCAUUUAUUUUUAUUUUUAUUUUUUGACAGGCAGAAUGGACAGUGAGAGAGAGAGAGAGAGAGAAAGGUCUUCCUUUUGCCGUUGGUUCACCCUCCAAUGGCCUCCGUGGCCAGUGCACCGCGCUGAUCCGAUGGCAGGAGCCAGGUGCUUCUCCUGGUCUCCCAUGGGGUGCAGGGCCCAAGCACUUGGGCCAUCCUCCACUGCACUCCCUGGCCACAGCAGAGAGCUGGCCUGGAAGAGGGGCAACCGGGACAGAAUCCAGCACCCCGACCGGGACUAGAACCCGGUGUGCCGGGGCCGCAAGGCAGAGGAUUAGCCUAGUAAGCCGCGGCGCUGGCCUCUUAAUAUAAUUUUUAAAAAUUUAUUUAUUUAUUUGAGAAUCAGAUUUACAGAGAGAGAGGGAGAACAGAGAGACAGAGGAAGAGAGAGAGAGGUCUUCCAUCUGCUGGUUUACUACCCAACUGCCAGAGCUGGGCCAGGAGUAAGCCAGGAGCCAGGAGCUCCAUCCUGGUCUCCUACAUAGAGGGCAGGGACCCAAACACUUGGGCUAUUUUUCGCUGCUUUUCCCAGGCCAUUAGGAGGGAGCUGGAUUGGAAGCAGAACAGCUGGGACUCAAAAACAGUGCCCUUGUGAGAUGGGCACUUUGCCUGCUAUACCACAACACCCGCACCUUAAUAUCAUUACUUUUUUUUUUUUUUUAAAGAUCUAUUUACUUAUUUGAAAGGCAGAGUUACAGAGAGGCAGAGGCAGAGACAGAGAGAGAAAGGUCUUCCAUCUGCUGGUUCACUCCCCAAAUGGCUGCAACAGCCGGAGCUGAGCCAAUCCAAAGCCAGGAGCCAGGAGCUUCUUCCUGGCCACGCGGGAACAAGAGCCCAAGGACUUGGGCCAUCUUCUACUGCUUUCCCAGGCCAUAGCAGAGAGCUGGAUUGGAAGUGGAGCAGCCAAGACCUGAACUGGUUCCCAUAUGGGAUGCUGGCACUGCAGGUGGCAGCUUUACCUGCUAUGCCACAAUGCCGGGCCCCUAACAUCAUUACUUUUGGUAUGCAUGUUCUCUCAGAUUGAGCUGCCCCUCAGGAUCUUUUCAUAUGGGUCCAUAUUUUUAAUCGUUCCUUUCUCUCUGACAUAAUAAGGUUUUCCAGGCUCAGACUGAGCUUUCUCAGCUAGUCCUCAAGUCAGCCAUUCUCUCAAGAGCCCUUGUUCCUUUUAGCGAAGAAUGGUCCUGAAUUUACUUUAGCCAAAACCAAAACAGAGCACAGAACUACUCAGUAAAUGUAAUAAAUAUUUAAAUCAUACUCUGACUUCUGCUUCUGGCAGUUAGACAAGAGAGACACAAAGUUCAAUUCACUUAGAUUGUCUAUGGUUUAGAUGUAUGCAAAUAUAUUAAUGAGUCAGAAUAGAGUUGCUAUACAUCUAGGCACUGCAUAUAUCAGACCUCAGAACAUGACAUGGGAGGCAUUACAAUAAAGUAUUCAAUUAAUGGUAUUAAUGGUUUUUAAAUAUUAAAAGUAAUAUCUCACAAUUCAAAAACAUAAUUCUCAAGACUUUAGAAUGAUUAAUGUAGAAAUUUAGAAAAAUAUAUUUAGAAUACAGAAGUUGUGUAGGAUUUCUUCUGUGGUUUAAAAGUCCAUGUCCCUCCAAGAUUCAAAUGCUGGAACUGAAUCCAAAGUGGCAACACCCAAAGGUGAGGUCUUUGGGGGAAGUGAAUUAGUUGGAGGGACAAUGUUGAUGGCUCAAGUAAUUGUGGUCCUUCCACAAUGUUGGAGAGCUGGACUGAGUUCCUGGCUCCCAGCUGCAGCCCUGUCUAAUUGCAGCUGUCACAGGCAUUACUCUAUGUCUCUCUGCUUCUCAAAAAAUUUUUAAAAAUUUUUAAUGAGAUACAUAGAAAACAAAAAGCAAAAUGGCAAAAAUAAAUCCAACUAAAUGAAUAAUAAAUAAUAUGGUAAAUGUGGAUGAGCUUAACACUCCCAUCAAAAAGCAGAGAUGGUCCAAAUGGAUCUUUCAAAAAGAAACUCAAUACUAUGUGCCAGCUAUAGGUGCAGUUUAGGCAGGGAAGCUGCUGUUUUUUGCUGCUGGGCCAAUCUGGUAAAAGCGUAAUCUUGUCUGUGUGGCCGGCUUGGGUGGUCACGGGGAGGGGAGACAGGAUAGCGGCAAUACCAGGCGAGAACGCCUAGAACUCUGCUGUUACUACCCAAAGCUCCAGCAGCUUCUCCCAGAUAAAUACUUCUGCAUUUCUCGUCUACUUUUGGUUUAUGUACAGUGCCCUGAAAUGUUGUGUUUUUACAAUUUUGUUCAGUUGUGCUUUUUAGUAGGGGAAAGAUGUCAACCUUUAUACGCCAUUACAAGAAGUCCCUUUGCUGAAUUGAUGUUUUCUCUUCUCUAAUCUGUUGGUUUCAAUGUUACAGAUUCUGUUUUCUGUCCUUUCAAUCAUGUCUUUUAAUGUUGAACAUUUAUGUAUAGCUACACAUUUUUCUUACAAAGUCUCAGGCUAUUCCAUUUCUGCCUUUAGACUCCUCUUGAACAAAAUAUGGAUCUUGUUUUGGCUGCUUAUUCUUGCUGUUAGUGCUGUCUUGAAUUUUAGUUACAUGUCUUUAUUAUAAAGUGCUUUUUUUUUUUUUUGACAGGCAGAGUUAGACAGUGAGAGAGAGAGACAGAGAGAAAGGUCUUCCUUUUCCAUUGGUUCACCCCCAAAUGGCCGCUACGGCCAGCACGCUGCGCCGAUCCGAAGGCAGGAACCAGGUGUUUCUCCUGGUCUCCUGGCGGGUGCAGGGCCCAAGUACUUGGGCCAUCCUCCACUGCCUUCCCAGGCCACAGCAGAGAGCUGGACUGGAAGAGAAGCAACUGGGACAGAAUCCGGCACCCCAACCGGGACUAGAACCUGGUGUGCCGCUGCCACAGGCGGAGGAUUAGCCUAGUGAGCCAAGGCGCUGGCCCAAAAUGUGUUUUUUUUUUUAAAUGUUUUGUUAUUUAGAUUCACUAGGAUCUUUCUUUGACUUAUUUCUUUAAAAAUUAUUUAUUUAUUAGAGAGAGAGAGAGAGAGAGAGAGAGAUAUCUUCCAUCUGCUGGUUCACUCCCCAGAUGGCCAAAAUGGCUAGGGCUGUGUCAGGCUACAGCCAGAACCUUCAUCAGGACCUCCCAUGUAGGUGGCAGAGGCCCGUACACUUGGGCCAUCGCUUUUCCCAGAUCAUUAACAGGGAGUUGGAUCAGGAGUGGAGUAGCUAGGACACAAACCAGCUCCCAUAUGGGAUGCCAGCCAGGUGGUGGUUUUACCCACUGUGCCACAAUGCUGGCCCCCUAUUUUAUUUUCCUUUCUCUUCUUUUUUUCUUUUCCUUCCUUCCUUCCUUUAUUUUUUUUAAGAUUUAUUUAUUUACUUGAAGGGCAGAGUUACAGAGAGAGAGAGAGACCUUCCAUCCACUGAUUCAUUCCUCAAAUGGCUGCAAUGGCCAGAGAUGGGCUAAUCUGAAACCAUGAGCCAGGAGCUCCUUCUGGGUCUCCCACAUGAGUGCAGGGGCCCAGGCAUUUUCCCAGGACAUUAGCAGGGAGCUGGAUUGGAAGUGCAGCAGCCAAGACUCAAACUGGUGCCCAUAUGGGAUGCUGGCACCACAGGUAUGCCACAGCGCCAGCCCCUGACUUUAUUUUCUAUAUCACACUUGUUCUAGUAGUGGUAUUUGAAAAUAUUCAAAAUUUGGUCACUGAGUCAAUAGAUAUCUUAGGACCAGUCAGCAUGAAUUUAUCUUUAAGUAUUUAUUUAUUUAUUUGAAAGGCAGAGCAUCAGAGAGGGGGGAGAGACAGAGAUCUUGCAUUUAUUGGUUCCCGUUCCAAAUGGUCACAAUGGCUGGGGCUGGGCCAGGGUGAAGCCAGGAGCCAGGAACUCCAUCCUGGUCUCCCAUAUGCAUGGCAGGGGGUCAAGUACUUGGGCCAUUUUUAGUUGUCUUCCCAGAUGCAUUUGAAGGAGACUAGAUUGGAAGUGGAAUAGCUGGGCUUCCAACCAGCGCUCUGAUACGUGCUGUGAGUGUCACAAUGGUGGCUUCACCUGCUGCACUGUAACGCCAGCCCCAGUGUGACUUUCUCUUUGCAGUAUAUGCUACGAGCUCUGGUACUGCCAGUGAUUUCCGCCUCUUUAACCUCUUCCAGUGGGGCAGCUGAAAUGAUUAACCUCCAGACUCACACAAUGUGCUAGCUGCCGUUCCACAAUGGAUGGCCUGUUGAUGUCUUCAGCUAACUUUUUUUUUUUUUUUAAGAUUUAUUUUAUUUAUUUGAAAGACAGAGUUACACAGAGUGAAGGAGAGGCAGAGAGAGAGAGAGAGAGGUCUUCUAUCCACUGGUUCACUCCCCAAUUGGCCACAUGGGCAGGAUCCAAGAGCUCCUUCUGGGUCUCCCACGUGGGUGCAGGGGCCCAAGGACUUGGGCCAUUUUCCACUGCUUUCCCAGGCCAUACCAGAGAGCUAGAUCAGAAGUGGAGCAGCUGGGACUAGAACUGGAGCCCAUAUGGGAUGCCGGCACUGCAGGCGGCAGCUUUACCCACUGCACCACAGUGCUGGCCCCCAAACAUGAUAGUAUUAACAGGUGGAGGCGGCAGGAUGGGAAUAGAUCCUGAGAGUGCUGAUGAAUGGGAAUAAUGCUCUUACAAAACUGGCUGGAGAGAGCAUGUCUGCCCCUCCCACCAUGUGAGGCCCCAGCAAGAAGCUGCUGCCUUUAAAGUCAAGGGUUCUUGCCACUCUCUGAAUCUGCAGGUGCCUUGAGCUUGGCCUUCUCAGCUGCCAGAACUGUGAGGAAUAAACUUUAUAUGUUUUUAAAAUUUGAGAGGCAGAGAGGAUGGUCCAAGUCCUUGGGCCCUGAACCCCAUGGGAGACCAGGAAAAGCACCUGGCUCCUGGCUCCUGCCAUCGGAUCAGUGCGGUGCGCUGGCCGCAGCGCGCCGGCUGCAGCGGCCAUUGGAGGGUGAACCAACGGCAAAGGAAGACCUUUCUCUCUGUCUCUCUCUCUCACUGUCCACUCUGCCUGUCAAAAAAAAAAAAAAAAAAUUUGAGAGGCAGAGAAAGUGAAGGAGAGAGAGAAAGAGAGAGAGAGAACCAGAGGCAGAUAGAGUUCCCAUAUAUUGCCUCACUCCAAAAAUUCUGGUAAUGGCCAGGGCUGGGCUGGGACUGAAGUCAGGAAUGGGAACUCAAUCCAGGUCUUCCACGAGGAUGGCAAGGACCUAAUCAUGUGAGUCAUCGCCAUAGCCUCCCAGGGUCUGCAUUAGCAGGAAACUGGAGUCAGGAGCUGGAACUGAGUACUGAACCCAGGUGCUCUAAUGUGAGAUGGUGGUGUCUUAACCAACAGGCUAAAAACCCAUUCCAGAAAGAAAUGAUUUGUUGUUCAUAAUUCAUCCAGUCUAAGAUAUUUUGUUUGAGCAGCUCAAAUGGACUAAAAGGUAUUUUUGUUUGUUCUCGUUUUGAGAGUGACUAUACCUUUAUCAUUAAAAAAAAAAAAAAGGCUUCUUUUGUUCGUUGUCACUCGUUUGAAGCCGAGGAGGGCGUAAGGACUGGGAUCACAGCACCCUUGCUGCCCCUUGCUCUAGCCUAACCUGGCAGUUUGGGGAGAGCUGGGGACAGAGUUCCUUCAAUGCAGUGCGGAUGGUGAUGACUGCUGACAGUGGCAAAGAGCUUGGCUUUUCCAGACCUAGAAGGAACUCCUCAGUGACUCAGUUCCUGGAGCGUGUGUUCCAGGUAAUGUUCUAGGUACAGUGGUAAUGGGGUGUUAUUACUGGGUGGUUCUUCACGUUAUCUGAGGCUCCAAGAGAACAGAUGCCCACAUUCUAUGGCGGCAGGCCCCCUUGAAGAAUUUGCAAGGGUUCAGGCGGCACAGUGGGUUAAACUGUUGCCUGUAACACCACCAUCCCGUAUAAGCACCAGUUUAAGUCCUUGCUGCUCCUCUUUUAAUUUAGCUCCCUCUUAAUGCACCUGGGAAAGCAGCAGAUGAUGGCCCAAGUGCUUGGGCCCCUGCCACCCAUCCGGAAGACCUGGAUGGAGUUCUAAGCUUCUGGCUUCCACCAUCAUGGCCAUUUAGGGAGUGAACCAGUGGAUGGAAGGCCUCUCUAUCUCUGUCUCUCUGUGUGUCUGUCUGUAAUUCUGUCUUUCAGACAAAUAGAUAGUCUUUUUAAAAAAUUCUGCAAAGGUGUCAGAGAAUUGGUUUAGCAGCUUUAAGCUUACCACAUCCCUUAAGCCUAUAAAACAGGCUGAAGAGACCAUGGUUAAAGAUGGGAAGAGGAUUUAUUGUCUUGAAUUUGUCUACUGCUGUGCAUCAGAAGAUGAGCUCCCUGGGAGCAGGAAUCUUUAUGCUUUCUGACUGUUAGGGAUGAGUAACUGUGCAGAUAUUAGAGAAAUUUGUCUGUGGCUAUGAGUUUCGGGAGGAAGAAUGAGAGUUGCCUCCCCUCAAGUCUCAGGAAAGGUACCUUAAUCAGGUCACACAGAAAACCAAACCAGCUUUCUUCUUACGCUGAAAGAUGAAGGGGAAGCCUGCCAGCUGCUCGCUUUGAGGUUGGGAUAACGAGAGGGGCAUUGUUGGGAUGGAGUUCAUUCAUUAGGGAGAAGAUGAAUGUUCUCAGUGGACACAUGAGAACGAGAGCCAGAGCUGAGUCAUUCCAGAGGUGCCCGAGAGGUCUGGAGGGAAGAGGUGAGCUGUAUUAGUCUGCUUUAUGUUACCGUAAUGAAAUACUGGAGGCUGGGUAGCUUUAUAAAGAAAAGAGGUUCAUUUAGCUCACAGUUACGGAGGUGCAAGGUCAGAUGUUGACAUCAGUUCAGUUCUGAUGAGGAUCUCAUGGUGUGGUACCACAAUGGCAGGAGUGCCUGCGGAAGGGCAGAAUCCAGACCAGAAGCCAGAAGCCUGGGGAGUAGCCAGGUUUUAUUUUAUUAUUUUUUUCUAAAUAGCAACGCUUCUGUGAGGACAACCUCAGGGGUCCCAGGAGGGCUAUCAUAAUCCCACAGAAGGCAUGUCUGCAGUGCCCCAGGACUCCCACAGCCUUCUAAUGAUUCCACACCACUCUCACUCCCUAAUACUGCAUCCUGGAGGCCAAGCUUACAACUCAUGAGCCCUUGAGGAACAAAAUACAUCUGAAGAUAGCAUGACCCAACAUAGAAAUGAGCCUCAAGACUCUCACGGGCUAAGGAAGCAAUGGUAGGUGACCAAAACACAGACAGUACAGUUUUUGUCUUGUUUUGCAAUAAUAUUUA